GCCGGGGUGGCGGAAAUGGUAGACGCAAGGGACUUAAAAUCCCUCGGACUCUUGAGUCCGUGCCGGUUCGAUUCCGGCCCUCGGCACAA
rnacentral:tRNA from 1 species